UUGACGUUUCUCUCCAUUCGCAUCUGAUGUCUUUCUGUUUUUUGUCGUUUCGAUUGUGCCUAUUAAAAGUGCACUAUUUUCUUGUUUUUGUUAAUAAAACAUUGAAAAUGCCGGAAAGUCUUGCUCGGCAACCCGCUGCAUCUAAGCAUCAAGUUCUGAUCAUGCUUGGGAAUCUGGUUCCGUGCGGGAACACAAGGUUGGAACGGUCAUGGAGCGAGGCGCAUCAGGAGCUACUGACUCCCUUGGACAUCUGAGUGAACUGAACUGACAUGACCGUACUAACCGAUGUACUGACCAAGGCCAAGGACAAAUGCACCGUUGGUCGGGCACAGGUGCUGAAGGCGGAAAAGGUUACCUGGAAAUCGUGUUCCCGUCGUAAUAUGCUGACAGAUUAUGUUGUAAUCGAGGUUGUAAUAUAAUGCGAAUGUAAUUAUUCUACUCUUGUGUUGAUAAAUAAAAUUGGUUUUCCGAGGGGUGGGGUGGGGUUUUGUUGAUUCGUGCCAGCCUGGGCCUUGCUAGUGCAAACUCGAA